rnacentral:rRNA from 1 species
GACGAACGCUGGCGGCGUGCUUAACACAUGCAAGUCGAACGAAGUGGCGAACGGGUGAGUAACGCGUAAACAACCUGCCCUUCAGAGGGGGACAACAGUUGGAAACGACUGCUAAUACCGCAUACUGAAGGCGGGGAUUGCGUCGGAUUAGCUAGUUGGAGGGGUAACGGCCCACCAAGGCGAUGAUCAGUAGCAGGUCUGAGAGGAUGAACGGCCACAUUGGGACGUGGACAACGCCCAGACUGCUACGGGAGGCAGCAGUGGGGACAUUUCCGCAAUGGACGAAAGUCUGACGGAGCAACGCCGCGUGAGUGAUGACGGCCUUCGGGGUGUAAAGCUCUGUUAAUCGGGACGCGGUACCGGAAUAGAAAGCCACGGCUAACUACGUGCCAGCCGCCGCGGUAAUUC